rnacentral:rRNA from 1 species
UACGUAGGGGGCAAGCGUUGUCCGGAAUCAUUGGGCGUAAAGCGCGCGUAGGCGGCCCGGUAAGUCCGCUCUGAAAGUCCAGGGCUCAACCCUGGAAAGCGGGUGGAUACUGCCGGGCUAGAGUCCGGAAGAGGAGAGUGGAAUUCCUGGUGUAGCGGUGAAAUGCGCAGAUAUCAGGAAGAACACCCGUGGCGAAGGCGGCUCUCUGGGACGGUACUGACGCUGAGACGCGAAAGCGUGGGGAGCGAACAGG